rnacentral:lncRNA from 1 species
UCCAUCUAUGUCGAGAAAUUUAAUAAUGAGAACUUCAUCCUAAAGCAUACAGGUCCUGGCAUCUUGUCCAUGGCAAAUGCUGGACCCAUCACAAACAGUUCCCAGUUUUUCAUCUGCACUGCCAAGACUCAGUGGUUGCAUGGCAAGGAUGUGGUCUUUGGCAAGGUGAAAGAAGGCAUGAAUAUUGUGGAGGCCAUGAAGCGCUUUGGGUCCAGUGGCAAGACCAGCAAGAAGAUCACCAUUGCUGACUGUGGAUAAC